CGCAUCCUUCGGGGUGAGUGGCAGACGGGUGAGUAACGCGUGGGAACGUGCCCUUCAGUUCGGAAUAACCCAGGGAAACUUGGGCUAAUACCGGAUACGUGCGAGAGCAGAAAGAUUUAUCGCUGAAGGAUCGGCCCGCGUCUGAUUAGCUUGUUGGUGGGGUAAUGGCCCACCAAGGCGACGAUCAGUAGCUGGUCUGAGAGGAUGAUCAGCCACAUUGGGACUGAGACACGGCCCAAACUCCUACGGGAGGCAGCAGUGGGGAAUAUUGGACAAUGGGCGCAAGCCUGAUCCAGCCAUGCCGCGUGAGUGAUGAAGGCCUUAGGGUUGUAAAGCUCUUUCAGCGGGGACGAUAAUGACGGUACCCGCAGAAGAAGCCCCGGCUAACUUCGUGCCAGCAGCCGCGGUAAUACGAAGGGGGCUAGCGUUGUUCGGAAUCACUGGGCGUAAAGGGCGCGUAGGCGGCUUUGUAAGUCGGGGGUGAAAGCCUGUGGCUCAACCACAGAAUUGCCUUCGAUACUGCAUGGCUUGAGACCGGAAGAGGUUAGUGGAACUGCGAGUGUAGAGGUGAAAUUCGUAGAUAUUCGCAAGAACACCAGUGGCGAAGGCGGCUGACUGGUCCGGUUCUGACGCUGAGGCGCGAAAGCGUGGGGAGCAAACAGGAUUAGAUACCCUGGUAGUCCACGCCGUAAACGAUGAAUGCCAGCCGUUGGCGAGCUUGCUCGUCAGUGGCGCAGCUAACGCUUUAAGCAUUCCGCCUGGGGAGUAC
rnacentral:rRNA from 1 species